rnacentral:tRNA from 1 species
GGAGAGAUGGCUGAGUGGUUGAAGGCGCACGCUUGGAAAGCGUGUAAGUGGCGUAAGCUGCUUCGAGGGUUCGAAUCCCUCUCUCUCCGCCA